rnacentral:rRNA from 1 species
GACGAACGCUGGCGGCGUGCUUAACACAUGCAAGUCGAACGGAAAGGCCCCUUUGGGGGUACUCGAGUGGCGAACGGGGGCGUAACACGUGAGUAACCUGCCCUUGACUUCGGGAUAACUUCAGGAAACUGGGGCUAAUACCGGAUAGGAAUCCUUGCUGCAUCGUGGGGGUUGGAAAGCUUCUGCGGUGUUGGGUGGACUCGCGGCUUAUCAGCUUGUUGGUGGGAUAGUGGCUUACCAAGCCUUUGACGGGUAGCCGGCCUGUGGGGGUGACCGGCCACACAGGGACUGAGGGACGGCCGAGAUGCCGACGGGAGGAAGCAGGGGGGAAGAUUGCACAAGGGGCGGCGGGUGGGUGCAGCAGCGCCGCGUGCGGGAUGGCGGCCUUGGGGUUGUAAAACGCUUGCAGCAGAGGCGAAGCUUGUGGUGACGGUACCUGCAGAAGAAGCACCGGCUAACUACGUG